UUCCGGAUCCCGUUAACAAAGUGGGCCUGGGAACGCUUGGUUUGAAGCGAGGCCAAGCUGCGUCUGUUUACCACCUGCACCUGAUUAACUGGCCGCCCCGUGAGCGCUGAGUAAAGGAGCCCAAGCCCCGCGUCACGGGAAGGCCCCGCGCGCCUCCCCAGCCCCCCGGGCCAGCCCCCGGCCCGCCUCAGGGUCGGCGUCGCGCUCCCUCGCCUCACCGUUUCCUGCUCCGGCAUAAAAGGGAAUGGCCCCAUGGCGGUCUGGGUGAUGAGGGACGUGUUGCCUCGGAGAGUAAAAGGUUCUUCCUGAUCCCAUCAGCUGCCUGCCAGAGUCCACGCCUGCCCUGAGGUCUGCUCCUUGCCAUCGUUUUCAAUUUCCAGGCUCAACCAUGUGACACCACCUGCAGCUGACUUCAAGAAGCAGCCCAGGAUCAGGCGGGCUGCAGAGAGUGACCCUCAGCCAUCCAUGUGAUGGCCGUACAAAAAUGACAGAUGAGAACAUCGAGGAAAACCACUUUCCUUUUGGAAGGCACAUUUAGUAAGAAAGGGAUGAGAAGAAAUAGGAAAUGUUUCUCUAGAUUUCCAAUGGGCUAUAAUAAGUGCGCUGGAAACCAGUUGUCCUCAUGGAAGCAAGCAUCCGGGGCUGCAGGGGGAUGCUGAUGGUGCGAGGUCUGAGGCUCCCUGUGGCGCCUGAGGAGUCCGAGUGACAGGAUUGCCUCCGGAGAUGGCCAACUCCUCACGUCCAGCAGUCAUGUGAGAGUGGGAUCAGCCACAGAAUCGGACUAGACAUUUUGAGAAAGUCUCUCCUGAGAUUUAUCUCACCUUCAUUGACCAGAUCUGCUAGGCUCAGUGGCUUGAGCAGUGGCUUGAAACUGACUCUCAGGGGUCUGAGA